rnacentral:rRNA from 1 species
GACGGAAGGUGCAAGCGUUGCUCGGAAUCACUGGGCGUAAAGGGUGCGUAGGCGGCUUGGUAAGUUGGGUGUGAAAGCCCCGGGCUCAGCCCGGGAAGGGCACUCGAAACUGCCGAGCUGGAGUGCCGGAGGGGAGAGUGGAAUUCCUGGUGUAGCGGUGAAAUGCGUAGAUAUCAGGAGGAAUACCGGUGGCGAAAGCGGCUCACUGGGUCUUUUCUGACGCUGAUGCACGAAAGCUAGGGGGGCAAACAGG